CUUUUCCCAACUUUAUGCAAAUCACCAGAGGCGACCACUGGGUGAUGACCAAUCACAUCGAGUGGUUCGUCCCAUGACGAAUUUGACGCUAUGCGACCCAAGACUUUCUUCAGCAAAGAUGGCUGACAAAAAUACUAGGACGGAAGCAAAUGGACUCCUGAAACAACCAGCAAACCAGGCUGUCGUCUUGUGAAACAGUGGAUGUAAAGAAUCUAGUAGCUAGCUAAAGUAUUUAUUGCAAAUUGAAUGUAAAAUUUGUUCAGCUUGCCUUGCUGAUAUUUGCCAUGCAAUGGAGAUAACUAGCUACGUUCUUGCUUAUUGUGCAGUGGAGGAUAAAAAUACCUGUAUAUGCCUAUGGAUAUGUAGCUAGCUAUCUAGCUGAUCUGUGUAUGGACCCAAACGUUUGGUAUACAUAUUUGUUCAGAACCAAGCUAUGAACCUCAGCUAUCAUAGCCAGUUGUAUUAACUUCAAAACAGUCUGAAUGACAUUAAUGAAGCCUAUGGAUUGAGUAGAAUAUAUUAUAACUUUGUGCCAAGGAUGCAAGUCGUAUAUACAUGUAGUUAUUACUAUGCAUGAGAUCCCCACAUUGUAGCCUGAAUAUUUAAUAUAUUCAAUGAUCAUGUACUCUACCUUGGCAAAUAAAGGUGCAGUUCAGGUA